GGAAGGGAGCAAGUCGCUUCGCCGGGAAGGGGUGCCGAGGCCGGCCGCCGGCUUGGAGGUGGCGCGGCUGUGGAGCAGGUGAGCGGUGCGCGGACCUUUUGGGUCUUGCACCUGAGCAAACCGCGCCGUGGCUGGCCCUUUCGUGAGCCGUGCCCACAGGUUGUUGGAGGAGCCAACUGAUAGUGGCACAGCACCGUCCCGCCUGGGGUCCACUUGGCCGAGCUUGUGGGGGAAACAGCAGGUGCUGAGUGGAGGUCACCCAGGCUGGGGGUAAAGAGAAGGUCAAGAAAGUGUUUGAAUGGCCCUCAUUUAUUUGUGUUCUGCUACCUCUGUCCCUUUCCUCUUACAGAGGAAGGAGCAUUACAGGGCUUGAAGGGCCGCGCUUCCUCCUGGGCCCUGUGACCAUCCCUUUAGAUGUCCCUGGCAUUUCUUACCCAGCAGGUUUUGAGAACAGUCUUUGUCCGCCCUCGUCAUUUCACAGUCUCCCUGUUUGGCUUUGAACCUCAUCCCCCGUCAGCCAGGCACCCAAUUCCCAUCACAAGGAUCUCCUCGGAAGUUCUGACUUUAAGCAGUGCCCCUAAGAAGCAGGCACCCUUUCCUUCUGCAGUCCAUCCAGGGCCGCUCUAGCAGGUUUUGCUUGCCUUGCAGUGUCUUUAGAAAGCUCUGUCCUAGAGUUGUAUCUUUCCCUGGGUGCCCCAGUUCCUCCCUUCUACCAGCCUGCCCUAGCCUGUCCCCUUCCCCUUAGUUUUGCUGUUAAAUGCUUGAGGGCCCCAGGGCUCUGUUCUCAGCAUUUCCUCUCCUGACUGCCCUUCUUGCCAUCCUCUGUUCACUUUCUACCCCUGUUUUUAUUCUUUCUUAUGAUUAAAAAAUUAAUUUAUGAAU
rnacentral:lncRNA from 1 species